CUACGGGAGGCAGCAGUGGGGAAUAUUGCACAAUGGGCGCAAGCCUGAUGCAGCCAUGCCGCGUGUAUGAAGAAGGCCUUCGGGUUGUAAAGUACUUUCAGCAGUGAGGAAGGUGGGUAUGUUAAUAGCAUAUUCAUUUGACGUUAGCUGCAGAAGAAGCACCGGCUAACUCCGUGCCAGCAGCCGCGGUAAUACGGAGGGUGCGAGCGUUAAUCGGAAUUACUGGGCGUAAAGCGCAUGCAGGUGGUUUGUUAAGUCAGAUGUGAAAGCCCGGGGCUCAACCUCGGAAUUGCAUUUGAAACUGGCAAACUAGAGUACUGUAGAGGGGGUAGAAUUUCAGGUGUAGCGGUGAAAUGCGUAGAGAUCUGAAGGAAUACCCGGUGGCGAAGGCGGCCCCCUGGACAGAUACUGACACUCAGAUGCGAAAGCGUGGGGAGCAAACAGGAUUAGAUACGCUGGUAG
rnacentral:rRNA from 1 species